CCUGCCCCUAAAAAGGCAUUGCAGGUGUGGCGGCUGUGUCACAUGUGUGUCAGUAGGUGGCAGAAAAGAAGGAGGCCAUGUCUACAGUCAGUGUUCUGACCUAGCUGAAUCAUUAGUAGCCUAACAUU